AAGAGACAGCAGCAGCCACGGGAAAACAGAGGAUGCAAGCGUUAUCCGGAAUGAUUGGGAGUAAAGUGUCUGUAGGUGGCUUUUCAAGUCCGCCGUCAAAUCCCAGGGCUCAACCCUGGACAGGCGGUGGAAACUACCAAGCUGGAGUAUGGUAGGGGCAGAGGGAAUUUCCGGUGGAGCGGUGAAAUGCGUUGAGAUCGGAAAAAACACCAACGACGAAAGCACUCUGCUGGGCUGACACUGACACUUAGAGACGAAAGCUAGGGGAGCAAAUGGGAUUAGAUACCCCCGUAGUCCCUGUCUCUUAUAC
rnacentral:rRNA from 1 species